rnacentral:rRNA from 1 species
GACAGAGGCCUCAAGCGUUAGGCGGAAUCACUGGGCUUAAAGCGUGUGUAGGCGGAUCGUUAAGUGUCUUGUGAAAUCCCACGGCUCACCCGUGGAACUGCUGGGCAUACUGGCGAUCUUGGGCCAACUAGGGGCAACUGGAACAAGCGGUGGAGCGGUGAAAUGCGUAGAUAUCGUUUGGAACGCCAACGGUGAAACAGACAGCUGGGAGUGUGCUGACGCUGAGACACGAAAGCCAGGGAGGCGAACGGG